rnacentral:tRNA from 1 species
CAGUAUAUAGUUUAUUUUAAAACUUAGAUUUUGGGUAUCUAAAAAAUGUAAAUUACAUUAUUCUGA